rnacentral:tRNA from 3 species
GGGCCGGUGGUCUAGUGGCUAUGACGCCGCCUUGACGAGGCGGAGGCCGUGGGUUCGAGUCCCACCCGGCCCACCA